GACGAACGCUGGCGGCGUGCUUAACACAUGCAAGUCGAACGGAAAUGCCCUGCUUUUUUGUGGUUCUCGUUUGGCGAACGUGUGUGUAACACGUUAGUAACCUGCCCUUUACUUUGUUAUAACUUCAGGAAACUUGGUCUAAUACCUUAUAUUUUCUCCUGCUGCAUGUUUUGGGUUUGACAGUUUCGGCGGUUGGGGAUGGACUCGCGGCUUAUCAGCUUGUUUGUGGGGUAUUGGCUUACCAAUGCUUUGACGGGUAGGCGGCCUGAGAGGGUGACCGGAGAGAAUGGGACUGAGAUACGGCACAGAAUCAAACGGGAGGCAGAAGGGGGGAAUAUUGCACAAUGGGCGGAAGCAUGAUGCAGAAACGCAGCGUGCGGGAUGAAGGCCUUCGGGUUGUAAAAAGCGUUCGCAUGUGAAGAAGAGUGAGUGACGGUAAUGGGUAAAGAAGCACCGGCUAACUACGUG
rnacentral:rRNA from 1 species